UACGUAGGUGGCAAGCGUUGUCCGGAUUUACUGGGCGUAAAGAGCGCGCAGGCGGUCGUGCAAGUCGCGUGUGAAAGCCCCCGGCUCAACUGGGGAGGGUCACGCGAUACUGCUCGACUCGAAGGCAGGAGAGGGAAGUGGAAUUCCCGGUGUAGUGGUGAAAUGCGUAGAUAUCGGGAGGAACACCAGUGGCGAAGGCGACUACCUGGCCUGUUCUUGACGCUGAGGCGCGAAAGCUAGGGGAGCAAACAGG
rnacentral:rRNA from 1 species